rnacentral:misc_RNA from 1 species
GCUGAACAUGCCAUCUCCUAAUACCCACUAAAAUAUUAUACAGAACUAAUAGCAAGUAUAUGUUUCCAUGCUAGUUGCGCAUGCUUACUUGCUCAAUCCAAGGGAAAAUUUAAUUUUCAUUUAUAUGUAACCAAAAAAGCAUGGAUAUGGUCCCAUUUUGGCAGACUUUACCAUGCUUCCAUAUCAUGCAAUGUUCAGCAGUCCAAGGAAAGUCAUAAGAAGGAAACGGGAAGC